UCCCUCUUAGCUCAGUGGUAGAGCGCGUCACUAGUAUUCCAGUGGCUAUGUAGUCCGUUCAAUAUGACGAGGUCAGUCGUUCAAGUCGGCUAGAGGGAA